rnacentral:rRNA from 1 species
GAUGAACGCUGGCGGCGUGCCUAAUACAUGCAAGUCGAGCGAACCACUUCGGUGGUGAGCGGCGAACGGGUGAGUAACACGUAGGUUAUCUGCCCAUCAGACGGGGACAACGAUUGGAAACGAUCGCUAAUACCGGAUAGGACGAAAGUUUAAAGGUGCUUCGGCACCACUGAUGGAUGAGCCUGCGGCGCAUUAGCUAGUUGGUAGGGUAAAGGCCUACCAAGGCGACGAUGCGUAGCCGACCUGAGAGGGUGAACGGCCACACUGGGACUGAGACACGGCCCAGACUCCUACGGGAGGCAGCAGUAGGGAAUCUUCGGCAAUGGGCGAAAGCCUGACCGAGCAACGCCGCGUGAAUGAUGAAGGCCUUCGGGUUGUAAAAUUCUGUUAUAAGGGAAGAAUGGCUCUAGUAGGAAAUGGCUAGAGUGUGACGGUACCUUAUGAGAAAGCCACGGCUAACUACGUGCCAGCAGCCGCGGUAAUACGUAGGUGGCGAGCGUUAUCCGGAAUUAUUGGGCGUAAAGAGCGCGCAGGUGGUUGAUUAAGUCUGAUGUGAAAGCCCACGGCUUAACCGUGGAGGGUCAUUGGAAACUGGUCAACUUGAGUGCAGAAGAGGGAAGUGGAAUUCCAUGUGUAGCGGUGAAAUGCGUAGAGAUAUGGAGGAACACCAGUGGCGAAGGCGGCUUCCUGGUCUGUAACUGACACUGAGGCGCGAAAGCGUGGGGAGCAAACAGGAUUAGAUCCCCUGGUAGUCCACGCCGUCCC